rnacentral:rRNA from 1 species
GAUGAACGCUGGCGGCGUGCUUAACACAUGCAAGUCGAACGGAAAGGCUCCUGCUUGCAGGGGUACUCGAGUGGCGAACGGGUGAGUAACACGUGGGUGAUCUGCCCUGCACUUCGGGAUAAGCCUGGGAAACUGGGUCUAAUACCGGAUAGGACCACAUUUUGGAUGGUGUGGUGGAAAGUUUUUCGGUGUGGGAUGAGCUCUCGGCCUAUCAGCUUGUUGGUGGGGUAAUGGCCUACCAAGGCGUCGACGGGUAGCCGGCCUGAGAGGGUGUACGGCCACAUUGGGACUGAGGUACGGCCCAGACUCCUACGGGAGGCAGCAGUGGGGAAUAUUGCACAAUGGGCGCAAGCCUGAUGCAGCGACGCCGCGUGGGGGAUGACGGCCUUCGGGUUGUAAACUCCUUUCGCUAGGGACGAAGCGCAAGUGACGGUACCUGGAGAAGAAGCACCGGCUAACUACGUG